rnacentral:rRNA from 1 species
GAACGGGUGAGUACACGUGGGUGAUCUGCCCUGCACUUUGGGAUAAGCCUGGGAAACUGGGUCUAAUACCGAAUAGGACCACGCGCUUCAUGGUGUGUGGUGGAAAGCUUUUGCGGUGUGGGAUGGGCCCNCNNNCUAUCAGCUUGUUGGUGGGGUAAUGGCCUACCAAGGCGACGACGGGUAGCCGGCCUGAGAGGGUGACCGGCCACACUGGGACUGAGAUACGGCCCAGACUCCUACGGGAGGCAGCAGUGGGGAAUAUUGCACAAUGGGCGCAAGCCUGAUGCAGCGACGCCGCGUGAGGGAUGACGGCCUUCGGGUUGUAAACCUCUUUCAAUAGGGACGAAGCGCAAGUGACGGUACCUAUAGAAGAAGCACCGGCCAACUACGUGCCAGCAGCCGCGGUAAUACGUAGGGUGCGAGCGUUGUCCGGAAUUACUGGGCGUAAAGAGCUCGUAGGUGGUUUGUCGCGUUGUUCGUGAAAACUCACAGCUUAACUGUGAGCGUGCGGGCGAUACGGGCAGACUAGAGUACUGCAGGGGAGACUGGAAUUCCUGGUGUAGCGGUGGAAUGCGCAGAUAUCAGGAGGAACACCGGUGGCGAAGGCGGGUCUCUGGGCAGUAACUGACGCUGAGGAGCGAAAGCGUGGGGAGCGAACAGGAUUAGAUACCCUGGUAGUCCACGCCGUANACGGUGGGUACUAGGUGUGGGUUCCUUCCUUGGGAUCCGUGCCGUAGCUAACGCAUUAAGUACCCCGCCUGGGGAGUACGGCCGCAAGGCUAAAACUCAAAGGAAUUGACGGGGGCCCGNNNANGCGGCGGAGCAUGUGGAUUAAUUCGAUGCA